rnacentral:lncRNA from 1 species
AUCAUCUUCUGAUUGAGAUAUAUUUAGAUAAGUAAUUAGUCUUGAUAUGAUUCCAUGUCCAAAGCUCAUCUGGGGUGUUGUUUGACUGAAGGAUUGAAUUGCAUAGUAACUUACCACUGAAAGAUAUUUUUGAUAUUUUCAUCAAAUUCCAUCUCUUUCGAGUAUUCAUGACACGUUACUAGAUAUUAAUCUUGACUUGUGGACUUAUAAUAAUUAAAAGAGUUUAAUUCAAAAAUUAAUUAGGAAGAGUCCUAGUUAAUUGAUGCAAUUAGGCUAACUUAGUCUCAUCAGAUUAGGGUUAGGUCAAGAAUCUGAGUCCACUACUGGCUAGAUUUGG